rnacentral:rRNA from 1 species
UACAGAGGUCUCAAGCGUUGUUCGGAUUCAUUGGGCGUAAAGGGUGCGUAGGCGGUCGGGUAAGUCUGACGUGAAAUCUUCAAGCUUAACUUGGAAACUGCGUCGGAUACUAUUCGGCUGGAGGAAUGGAGGGGAGACUGGAAUACUUGGUGUAGCAGUGAAAUGCGUAGAUAUCAAGUGGAACACCAGUGGCGAAGGCGGCCUUCUGGACAGUGACUGACGCUGAGACGCGAAAGCGUGGGGAGCAAACAGG